rnacentral:rRNA from 1 species
GAGAGGAACUUCCGGUCUCAGUACAGUGGCGCUCGGGUGAGUAGCCCGGAGGUGAACUGUCCCCCCGACAGGGAUAACCUCGGGAAACCGAGGAUAAUACCUGAUAAGCCCACGUUGGAUUGAGCCAAUGGGGGAAAAGAUAGCUUUCGGGCUUUCACUACUGGGUGUGCUUGCCUACCCUUCUCUUGUUGUCGGUGCAAUUGCCUACGACCGUUAAAAUGGGUGUGUGGUCUGAGACGACAAGCCCCCGCACUGUAACUGACAUCCCCUCCUCACUCCUGCUUCACGCCGCAGUACGCAAUUUUGCCCUGUGGGGGCAGCCCUGGCUCGCCCACGUCACGUGACUGAACACGGCCUUCCGGUUGUAAAGCUCUGUCAGAGGGGACAAAUAACCGGAGUCCUCCCCGCUUGCGGGAUGAGCUUACCCUCUCAGGAAGCGCCCGUGAACUCUGUGCCUACAGCCCCUCUAGUACAGACGGUGUGAGCGUUAUUCUCAAUUACUGGUGGUAAAGCGCAUGCAUGUGGGAUAUCAAGUCAGGUGUGAAAUUCCGGGGCUCAACCUCGUGAACUGCAUUUGAUGCUGAUAUUCUUGAGUUCUACGAGAGGGUAGUGGAAUUCCAGCGUGUAGAGGUGAAGACUACCAGAUAUCUGGAGGAACACUCGAGGCGAAAGCGGCUACCUGGCCCAAAACUGACACUCAGAUGCAAAAGCGUGCGGAGCAAACAGGAUUAGAUACCCUGGUAGUCCACGCUGUAAACGAUGUUAACUAGCCGUUUGAGGAAUUGACCCCUUGAGUGGCACAGCUAACGCAUUAAGUUUACCGCAUGUGGAGUACGGUCGCAAGAUUAAAACUCAAAGGAAUUGAUGGGGGCCCGCACAAGCGGUGAAUUAUGUGGUUCAAUUAGAUGCAACGCGAAGAACCUUACCUGGUCUUGACAUCGGGAUACGGGCCUGGAAACAUGUCUCACCUCUUCGGAGGAGUCCCAGACAGGUGAUGCAUGGCUUUUUUCAGGUGGUGUCGUGAGAUGUUUGGUUAAGUCCAGCAACGAGCGCAACCCUUAUUUCUAGUUUCCAGCAUUAAGUUGGGCACAUUAGUUAUACUGCCUGUGUUAAGCAGGAGGAAGGUGGGGAUGACGUCAAGUCGUCAUGGCCUCAGUGACCAGGGCUACACACGUAUUUCACUGAGUGGUACAAAGAGCAGCGAGCUAGGGAGGGUAAGUGAAUCUCAAAAAACCAUUCACAAUUCGGAUUGGAGUCUCCAACUCGAUUCCACGAAGUGGGAAUCGUUCGUAAUCGGGGAUCAGCAUGCAGGGGUGAAUACGUUUCCGGGCCUUGUACACACCGCCCGUCACACCAUGAAAGUCGAUUUAACCGGAAGUCGUUG